rnacentral:rRNA from 1 species
ACCGGCGCACUGCCGUUAUAGUCGUCCCAUUUGGCUCGACGAUUGGCCGUUCAUAUUCGACCAGCCCUGCUCGCGCCCUCGAUAACACUGUCCAUUACUUCCCGGCUUUUUUUUCUCGGGGAAGCUGCUGGCGACAUAGCUGUAUUUUAUGCAUGACUAUCUUCACAUGGAGAACAUUAUAUUGUCGAGUAGGCCCGAGAUCGCCGAGGAAAUAUGCUGUCCAGUGGUUAAUUAGCAGGCUUUAGGGUUACAACGGGGUAACGGAGGGUUAGGGCUCAACCCCGGAGAGGGAGCCUGAGAAAURGCUACCACUUUUAAGGAAGGCAGCAGGCGCGCAAAUAACCCAAUCCCGACACACGGGGAAGUAGUGACAAUAAAUACUGAUACAGGGCUCUUAUGGGUCUUUCCCUCUAUGGAACCUCAUGCUCUUUACUGAGUAUGACGAGGAGAUAGGACUUUUACUUUGAAAAAAAUUAGAGUGCUCCGGGCAGGCCUAUGCUCGAAUAGUACAGCAUGGAAUAAUAGAAUAGGAUGUAUGGUUCUAUUUUGUUGGCUUCUAGGACCGCCGUAAUGAUUAAUAGGGACAGUCGGGGGCAUUAGUAUUCAACUGUCAGAGAUGAAAUUCUUGGAUCUGUUAAAGACUAACUAACUACUGUGAAAGCAUUUGCCAAGGAUAUUUUUAUUGAUAAGGAACAAAAGUUAGGGGAUCAAAGACAAUUAGAUACCAUCUUAGUCUUAAACAUAAACUAUACUAACUAGGGAUAAGAUAUUAUUCUUUUUUUGACUCAUUCGGCACCUUUCAAGAAAUCAAAGUGGUUAGGCUCUAGGGGGAGAGUAUGAUCACAAGGCUGAAACUUAAAGAAAUUGACAGAAGGGCACCACCAGGAAUGGAACCUGUGGCUUAAUUCGACUCAACACGGGGAAAUUCACCAGGUCCAGACAUAGUGAAGAUUGACAGAUUGAGAGCUCUUUCUUGAUUCUGUGGGUGGUAUAAGUUCUAUCUAAGAUUAUGUGGCUAGUAGCUGCACUAUCAAGUAAAAAUCU